rnacentral:tRNA from 1 species
GCCAGCGUAGCUCAGUCGGUAGAGCAAUGCUUUCGUAAAGCAGAGGUCGUGGGUUCGAAUCCCACCGCUGGCU